CCUGGGUUUAAGCAAUUCUCCUGCCUCAGCCUCUUGAGUAGCUGGUAUUACAGGCAUGUGCCACCACGCCCGGCUAAUGUUUGUAUUUUUAGUAGGUACGGGGUUUCUCCACGUCAGUCAGGCUGAUCUUGCACUCCUCACCUCAGGUGAUCCACCCUCCUUGCCCUCCCAAAGUGCUGGGAUUACAGGCAUGAGCCACUGCG
rnacentral:lncRNA from 10 species